rnacentral:lncRNA from 1 species
CUGUAAGUAAUGCUCCCUGAUAAUCCCCUGUUGGUUGGGGCUUGUGACUGGGCAGAAUGGAGGUCAGGACUGAGAGUUGAGUAUGAGCUCUUGAGAGAGAAGCCGGAGGUAAGAGUCACCAUUAAAAAGUAGCUCUAGUUAGAAAUAGUCAACCCCCACCCUUUUUCCAAGAUAGGGCACACUAUUUAUUUAGCUCUGGCAGGCUGGCCUUGAACUUACUGAGUUCAGGCUAGCCAGAGAUACAUAGACCCCUGUUUCAGACAGACAAACACCAAACACUCUCCACCUAGACUGGUGUGGCUCACUGUUGAGUAACAAAGCUGUUACUAGAAGCCAGGCCUUCUGACCUUUAACUGAGACUUGGUUUGCACACAGUGCGAUGCAGAUCACAGGGAGGACAGAACCACAUGUCCUAUUU